rnacentral:rRNA from 1 species
GUGGGGAAUCUUAGACAAUGGGCGCAAGCCUGAUCUAGCCAUGCCGCGUGAGUGAUGAAGGCCCUAGGGUUGUAAAGCUCUUUCAGCUGGGAAGAUAAUGACGGUACCAGCAGAAGAAGCCCCGGCUAACUCCGUGCCAGCAGCCGCGGUAAUACGGAGGGGGCUAGCGUUGUUCGGAAUUACUGGGCGUAAAGCGCGCGUAGGCGGACUGAAAAGUUGGGGGUGAAAUCCCGGGGCUCAACCUCGGAACUGCCUUCAAAACUAUCAGUCUGGAGUUCGAGAGAGGUGAGUGGAAUUCCGAGUGUAGAGGUGAAAUUCGUAGAUAUUCGGAGGAACACCAGUGGCGAAGGCGACUCACUGGCUCGAUACUGACGCUGAGGUGCGAAAGCGUGGGGAGCAAACAGGAUUAGAAACCCUUGUAGUCC